rnacentral:lncRNA from 1 species
AAAAAUAUAGUCAUCAAACAAGAGCUUAUCCAACAAGAAGCAACCACAACUCAAGGUUGAACCAAUUGAAGGAAGGAGCAUCAAAGCAACGCUUAACCACCAUCCGGUAGAAGCCAAUAUCCACAAAGCCAUAAAAGGCACAACGCUUAACCAUCAAGAGUUUUCCAUAACUCAAGACAGAAGCACAAGAAGAAGAAGAAGAAGAAGAAGAAGAAGAAGAAGAAGAAGAAGAAGAAAAAA